rnacentral:tRNA from 1 species
GCCGGAGUGGCGGAAGUGGUAGACGCUGCGGACUUAAAAUCCGCUGUUCCGCAAGGGACAUGCCGGUUCGAAUCCGGCCUCCGGCA